rnacentral:lncRNA from 1 species
CGUAGGUAAACCGAUAAACAGUCAUGGCGGAAGCCGUAGCAUGCCAAUUGCAGUACGAGAACAAGGAGGUAGGUACCAAACAGACUGCAUGUAAGAUUCCCAGCGCUCCAUGCUGUCUACACCACAUUUUCUGUGAUCUUUUUUGCAAAUUUCGUAAAUGUUUUAUGUUUUUAGAACUCUAUUCUCUUGCUGCAUGCCGGCGUGCGACUAAUAGGUCUGCUACGUAGUGGGGAAGUUGGAUGGCACGCAAAUGAGUGACCACGCGGAAUGACACAAGCGUCCGAUGAACUGUGCGGUAGCCUAUUAGGCCUCGGUAUCAGACGAUCGAUUCGUGUUCCUGGUCCAUCCUGGAUAGAUCUCACAGAUGACAAGGAUGCCAUAAAUACUCUGACUUUGACAAGUCAAGCAGCAGAAACUGAUCCUCAGGCCCAUUGCCAGCGGAUAAGGAUGCGUCAACUGUAGGAGCUCGAUGAGCUGGCCUUGACCUAUGUGCCUGUGCCUGCCAUAGAUCUGGCCCAGAUGGUAACUCAGAGCACGAACAAGGAAUCAUAUUUACAAUAAUUGCCGCACUAUAGUUUCGAUAUUGUAAUGGNGUACGUUAACCGAUAAACAGUCAUGGCGGAAGCCGUAGCAUGCCAAUUGCAGUACGAGAACAAGGAGGUAGGUACCAAACAGACUGCAUGUAAGAUUCCCAGCGCUCCAUGCUGUCUACACCACAUUUUCUGUGAUCUUUUUUGCAAAUUUCGUAAAUGUUUUAUGUUUUUAGAACUCUAUUCUCUUGCUGCAUGCCGGCGUGCGACUAAUAGGUCUGCUACGUAGUGGGGAAGUUGGAUGGCACGCAAAUGAGUGACCACGCGGAAUGACACAAGCGUCCGAUGAACUGUGCGGUAGCCUAUUAGGCCUCGGUAUCAGACGAUCGAUUCGUGUUCCUGGUCCAUCCUGGAUAGAUCUCACAGAUGACAAGGAUGCCAUAAAUACUCUGACUUUGACAAGUCAAGCAGCAGAAACUGAUCCUCAGGCCCAUUGCCAGCGGAUAAGGAUGCGUCAACUGUAGGAGCUCGAUGAGCUGGCCUUGACCUAUGUGCCUGUGCCUGCCAUAGAUCUGGCCCAGAUGGUAACUCAGAGCACGAACAAGGAAUCAUAUUUACAAUAAUUGCCGCACUAUAGUUUCGAUAUUGUAAUGGGAUGCGCAGAGAAGGUAAGGUGAUGACUUCAAACGAUACAGGAGGCACUUCCGCUCAGAAAGAGGCGUCCCAUGUCCUGAUCCGACAGGACACAGCCAAAUGAUGGCGUUAUAGGGAUUACAUUUAAAAACAUCCUUAAAAUGCCAUUAUCCUUAAAGUCCUUACAUCCGAAAGGACUGAAAACGAUAAAGGACAUUCGCCUGAUCACGAGGAGGUGUGGCAUGUCCUGAUCGGCUCCCAAAUUAAGGAGAAAACAAUAAAACAAAACAUUGAUUUUACCAGAAAUUGUCUUUUUACAUGCUCCUGUUUGGUGUUUUUCAGAAAAUCUAAACGCUUUUCGGCAUAAUGGAGCUGGAGGAUGAGGAUCGUACGCGUCUCUAGCAGGUCUCCAGACAGAUCGCCGAUGGGGCCCGAUUCGCCAACUAUGUGGUCAAUCUGGAGAGUGAAUGCUCUUCAAUGUAACCUUCUUCCAUUCGAAGAUCGAGAAAGGCAAGCAUGAUCCACUCCUCUUUGGGAUGCAAUCAGGACUACAAGUUCUACAUCGAAGUGGCCGAUUUCCAAUCUGAUUUGAUACCAUGUCGGAGUAGGUUACGUUUAGGUUAAUCAGAUUUAGAUUAGCAUUACACAAAUAUCAACCAAUUUUGUAAACAUGGAAUGAAGCAAGUUUUGUGUAACAAUAAAAAGUGUGGCAUGCUUUCAGGAUGCUACGAUAUUGUUUUCCAAUAUUUGAAGUAUCUUUUGGGGGCU